ACAUUAUUUCUAAUGCUAAAAAAAACGAAGUCUAGCAAGUAAGUAGGUAUCAAAAGAAAAAAAAACGAUGGUUAAUGCGACAUGUUAAUGCAUGCUGCUAGACUUCAGACUUUUGUCAGCGACGGCUAAUAACAUCAGCAUAGUGUAGUCUCUUAACGAUUUUCAGUAGUAAUCGUAAUAAAAUCGAAUUAAAUUCCUUAUAUCCAAUUUCGGAAUUUUCGACAUUCAGUGGUCUCAAUUCCGGAAUUUGUAAUAUCGGAAAAUUGGUCCGUUAUUCCGGAAUUUCGAAAUUCCGGAAUCUCGGAUUGCAAGCCCUAGGUCUGAAAACCAUCGCCGAGCAUCUUGGCCCAGCACACGCUAAGACUGGAACCCUUUGCCCUUUUUUUGAUUUGUAUAUAUUAAUAAUUGUUUUUUUUUUCUCUAUUAUGUUAUAUGUUUUUCUCGCCACUGUUCGGAAAUGUGGCAAAAGAUGGUCUAAAACCAAGCUGGAAAGUAGGCAAUAGCUGUAGCACCUGAACCACCACUACUACAAUGUUUCAUUGUUAUAUGUCUGUCAUUUGUGAUCAUUGUUAUCAUCAUCUGUCAUAAGGUACAAGGUCUUUUAUUGGCGCAACUUUUCCUUCAAAUAUAAAAUUAGAGUAUUUACACCGUGUCCAAUAUAUUUGGAUAUAACUAUGAAAUAUCAUAAAAAUAACUACACGAUACCAAAUGACAUGAAAAGUAUAUUGUAUUAAAACGAAACAAAUAACAAAUUAUUACAAUAACUGUUUUGGAAUUACUCCGCCUUUAAGUUUCCGAACCAGCCUUAAACGUUUCUCGACCCGUCACAUGCGGCACGCACUGCUUCCAUAGGCAUUUCAUCCCAAAUAAGCUCGAUAUAUUUUUUUUAUUGGUCCAAAUUUGAUAUUUUAUAAUUAAUCAGUUUAGACAGGAUAUACGACCAUACAAAAAAAUCCAAACAAUUGAGAUCCGGAGAGCUGGGAGGCCAUUCAUUCUUGGGUAAGAAAUCGGUUAAAUUUGCCUUACACCAGGCUUGAACGCUGUUUGCGGUAUGGGAAGGUGCUCCAUCCUGUUGAAAAAUGUAAUAAUCAUCUCCAAACAUGCGUUGCAAAUUAGGAGCAACAACUUUCUCCAGUACUUCGGUUUUGUAAUAUUCAGCGUUGAUUUUAACACCUUUAUCGAUGAAUAUCAAAGGAAGUUUGCCCCGCUUACACACUGCUCCCCAAACCAUUACUGAGGGGGCACCCUGAAAUCUUGGAACGUAUUUCUGAUUCUCUGGAAUAUCUGCCAUCUUGGCCGCCCACAACCGAUCAUUUUGAGCAUUGUGGGAUUGCUCUAAAACAAACAGUUUUUCAUCUGAGAAAACGAACUCAUCCCCAGCGUGCCACGAAAGUAUCGUAUUUGAUCGCUCGGCCCUCUUCUGCUUAGAAGCCUGGGAAAGUCCAUGAACUUUACGUUUCUUGUACGCAUAACACCCGAGAUCGUGUAUCAAAAUGUUAUGGACAGAUCCUCUUGAAAUAUUCAAGUCGGCUGCUAGUUUUCGAACGGAGCGAUGGUUUUUACGUCUAAUUCGCUCCCUCACAAUUUUGACUACCCGAUCUGUUCUCGCUGAUCGCGGCCGACCCGAUCUCCUACGAUCUUCCGUUGAGGAGGUCUCUUUGAAUCGUUUUAAUGUUUUAUAAACAAAAUCACGUUUGAUUCCAGGAGAUUUCAUCGCUUUGAAGAUGUCAAUAGGGCACUCGCCAUUACAGUAUUUGGUAACAAUUAUUUUACGAAAUUGCUUCACCGUGUUUUAACCAUGAAUGAAAUGUAAUACUAAUAGACAUUUGACGUUACUGUAUCUUGUCUCUGUAAAUAUAUAUUUCAAUUUUAUAAAUAGUACUAUUUAUUUCGAGCUUCAGGUAUUUUAUACCAGUGCGAAACAUAUUGUAUCCAAACUUAUUGGACACGGUGUAUAGGAUCAAUUACUUGUUAAAAAAAAAAGAAACGUCAAACCCAUUCAGUUCACGCUUCAGGAGUUUUUACUUUCAUUGCAAGAAAUCAGAAAUCAUUGCAUUUAUUCGUGAUAAAUUAUGACAUACAAAAGUAUAACAACACAACAAAGAAACAUAGAAUAAAUAAAUAGUUUACCACGAAAUGGUCCCGCCUCAGCAUAAAUGCAAACUUAAAAGUCAGCGCUGAUCUUCAGGCGUGACCAUUUGUGGGUCACGAUCACGAACGCAGCUGUACGGCACGGCAUAAAACUGAACGCGGCUUUGCGGCGGCGAAAGGGCGGCGAUCAACGCCAUCUAGUCUGCCGGCGAGACUUCAUGAUGACAAAAGAGGCCAUGUCGUACGCGUGCUGUUAGAUAUAGACAACAACGAUAACAAGACCAUUUAUUAGUUUAUUACUUACUUAUACUCGUAUUAAAACAGUAGCAUCAGUGCAAACCAUGAAAGAAAAUAAACGUGAUUACAUAGCAAGAAAUUAAAAAGAAAUUCAAUCUUACAAUAUAAAAACUAAGAAUACUACUACUUGGGUUACAAGUUUUGUACAUGAAGAAGAUAAAAUAACAUCAAUAUCACGCACAAUGGUGAUGCAAGAGUUGCAAGGCAGAGAUAAAACAAAUGACGACUAAUAACAUUAUACAGACGCAUUGAGUGAACGUGAGGAUAGGACAGAAAAACAGGUUCCCGAGCGGUGGAGGAAUGUUGUUCCAGCAGCGGGUUGCCAUGUACCUAAAGCUCCCACGAAAUGCUGCUGAAGCAUGUAGAGGUGUCACCAACUGCACACUGCAAUUACGCGCCCCAAGUGACCUACGGGUGGACAUCCAUGAUAACUUCUCGAAGAGAUAUGAUAGGGAUUUGUGUUUUACUACGCCAAAUAAGAGAAAUGCCAGAUGAAGCUUGUGAAGGUGUAGCAUUUUGAGAAUACUGUGCUUAUUUAGAAAUGGAGUCACAUGGGCUCUUGGAGAAAUGUUAAAGCAAAAACGAGCAAACGCAUUUUGUACCCGCUGAAUAAGUCGCCUUGUUUUUGCCAGAAGACGUGGACCAUAGACUAAAUCCAUAUAGUUCAAUUUAGACAGAACAAGUGUUUCAAUCAACUGAGUGCGCAAGUUUCAUUAAUGAACGGUCGAAUAUUGUACAGUAGCUUGAGCCUGUAAAAAAAGUUUCUCACAGUUUCAGCACCAUGAUUGUCAAAUCUGAGUUCACUAUCCAUAAUUAAACCUAAAUUCCUAGCCUUAUACACUUUUUCAAUGGGUUCACCCGAUAACAUCACAUCUCUGGCAGGUCCAAUUUUGCUUUACUGAUUUUUGGUGCCGAAGAUCAUACAUUUUGUCUUAGAUGGGUUGAGCAUUAGACUAUUGUCUAGAGCCCAAGAAGUUAAGUUUGCAAGGUCCAUAUUAAGUUUUUGUGUAGCACUGUCAAUUUCAGAAGGCUUACAGGAAAUGUAUAUCUGUAUGUCAUCGGCAUAAAUAUGAUACUUGCAGUGUGCGAUGCGAGUUCUGAUGUCCGCUGUAUAUAAACAGGAUUGGGCCAAGUAUCGAUCCCUGUGGUACACCUCUGGAAAGCGCCAUUUUUUCUGAGACUAGCUGAUCCGUCACUUGAGCUUAGUUAAACAUACUGUUGUCUCUCACUGAGAUAACUAUGAAACCAACGAAGUGCGCUGUUAUCAAAGCCAUAGUAACUUAGCUUAGACAGUAGCAGGUCUAUAUUAAUGCAGUCAAAUGCCCUAGAAAAAUCAAGCAGUACAAGUAGUUUUGUAGCUGUUUGUGGUUUUUUAGCAAAAAACGCUUCGAAGUUUAGAGUCCGUUUGAAGAAAACAACAGAAAAACGCCUUUAAAAGUGAUAAAAAAAGUAAAAAAGGCGGGAUCGGAAAAUACUUACUGAAUUAGAUAGUGUAAAUUGUCUUUGACUAAAAAAUACAAGAAACACGUAUCAACGUUAUAAAAAUGAGUUCUUCUAGUGAAAAAAAUAUAAAUGUUCCUGGCAAAAAUACAUCGCCUUCUUGCAGCAAUUGUCCUCACGCCAAUAUAAAUAUUAAUUUAUAUUAAAGUACUUGUCUCUAGGGACAAAUAACUUUUGAGACAGAAUUUAUGGCAAGAAAAAACAUCAAAUUGCGUAAAAAUAUUUUCUAUAAUGUUCAUAUCCAGACAGGAAAAUGGAGACUACGUUUGUAUGGAGAAGCGGUCACGUGACUUCGUCCCUUUUCAUCUUAAGCACAGAAUGAUAUGAUUCCAGGGAAAUGAAAAGGUAAUACCAAUCAUAGAAAGCCUAUAAUAGUUAUUUGCACAACAAGAGAGCAAAGUUUGAUAUUUCUUCGAGUGCUUGUUUUGAGUCCCGUGCAAGCGAAAGAUUCUAUAAUAUAUAAUUUAGAAUAUUGAGCGUAGUAAGGGACUCAAAAGCGCACGAGAUGUAAAUAACUUUGAUCUCGUGUAGUACACAAAUUUUUUCACGUCAGUCAGCCAUCAAAGAAUACAACCUGAAAAAAUGUAAUCCAGACGGACGGAUCACUAUUUCACUCAUGUUUUCUGAAGGUAUUCUAACAAUUAACUUUAAUUACCGCAAUAAAACGAAACGAAAGAAAUUUCAAUAAAAUAAUACGAAAAUAAUGAAUUAACGAACAUCAAUUGACAGUUCAAUCGACAUCUUUUUUUUUGUAAAAAAAAACUUUGUAAGAUCCGGUCCGAAUUGCAGAUACUACUAUUUUUCAACUAUAUUUGAGAUCGUUAAAAGUCGUUAAAUAGAAUUAUUUACUGCGUAACAAUUGCGUAAAUUUGUAUAAGUUCAUUGUUUUAAUUGUAUAAUAAAAUAUGUAAAAUAUGGUGUUUUUAUUAAAUUUUAAACUUUUAUUUCAUUAAUUAAUUAUUACGAAUGAAGACUCGUAGGGUGUUUUUGGACGAUGCGGUCUGACUUAUUUCGGGGGUCUAUUAUAAACCGUCAAUAUACCGUUGAAUUACGUAUGCACUUUUUUUGUCUCUUUCUUUUUGCUAAUGACGUGAAAGGGAUAAAGACAAUAGAAUCCAAAUAUUUCGAAACUUGUAUUAGGCCCCGCACGCUAAACAAAUUAAACAAAUUACCGCACGUUGAAAUGACAUUCAAAUGUAAAGGUCACUUGAAUGUUAUUUUGUCUCACUCGGUGAGCAAAAUGCGAUUUUACUCACUGUUUUUAAGCAGCAAAUUACCCUUGUUCGAGCUGCUGACGUGAAAAAUGUAUUGCAUUCAAUAAUAUUUCCUUUUAUGCUUUUAAUUCUUUUUUCACCAUUUUCGAGAAAAGCAAUGUCUAUAAGUAUAACUCGACUGAAAUGGCUUUAAUUUACUAAUUCGUCGGAAUUAAUACGAAAACAGCAAACUCUGCUGACUUAAAAUUUGUACAUUUAGCGCGCCUCCACAAUGAAGAUGACAAUAUAAUGACAUGAUCUAUACUCCCUUAUGUUUAAAAUGUACAUAAUACUAUAGAUCGUGUCAAUUCCGACGACGCAUGCGAUGACUCGUAUAGUCAUGUUAUUAAAGGUUAGAUUUGACAAAUCUGCGCGUCAUCGUGGAUGAUACUAACUUUAAUAGUCCCGGUUUAGCUAAUUCAGACAAAAUGGUAACUACGAUACCCUACACUGAGCACGCCCCGACAUGCUCAUGAUUUUUUGUUCUAUUAAGUACAAAGAAAAUGGGGAAUACGUUUGUAUGGAGAAGCGGCCGAAGUGUGGUCGUAUCUUUUGAAACGACGACAAGUAAACAGAUUUAUGACGAAUUAUCAUACGUAUGACGUUUUUCGUGUAAUUUCAUUUACAAUUAACAAGUAUUCCUAGACAAAAUAGAUUUCAACGUACAAAUUCUCGUUUAGCACUCAUAAUCUUAGUUUCAAGAGCAGUUUAAUCAAUUGAAUGAAGAAGGUGUGUAGACGUAUUAUAACAAAAUCGGUCUGGGUAUUUUUAUUAGUAUUGAACAUUCAUAAACUUUUUGUGGUAACUACUGACAAACAAAGAAAACCGGCAAUUACUACAAAAGAGGAUUUGGUGUUAUUGUUAUGCAUGAAUCCCUUCGCUUGGCAAGCAAUGCAUUCAUAUUCACACGAUACAAAAAAUACUUAUUUAGAAGAUAAAUAAAGUUAUAUUUUCAUAAGAGAGAAGAUUAAUUAUUUCAAGGAGAACUUUGCGACUGCAUGGCCAAAAUAAUAGAGUAAAAUAACAGCAUUUUUGAGAACAAUUCGCUUUUUCCGUAAAAUAUAAAUGAUAAGAAGUAACAGUAAAAAUAAAACAAGUAUUAAAUAGGUAUAGAUGCGCAGUCUGUUCACACGUCAGUUCAGCCUAUGACAUUCUUAACACUAGUAAACAUCUUGACUAUUUAUAGUCAAAAGGCACAUUGUCGAGUAAAAUACCUGGGAGUUACAGUCAUCUUAAAGUGCCAGUUGAGACUUAGCUAGUACAGUCGACGUGAAAGAUAUGUUCAUACUUUUGCACCUUACUCCUUUGUAGUAUGGCGAAAAAUGUUAGUACCUGUUACAAAUAGUCUUGCCAUAAAAUCUGUCUCAAAUUGAAUAGUCCAAAGUUAUUCAAUGAAGUUUAAUAUUCCUAAUAACUGACUAAUAACGAACAUAGAAUGCCUCAUGAUGACUCGAUGUUCAUGUCCUUCGCCUCAACAUCAACACCUGUCUUUUAAGACGAAAGUGGAGGACCCGCGCGGAAUCGCCUUUCAUACAAACGUAGUCCUUAUUUCCCUCACUGAAUAUUAACAUUAGUAUUUUUUUGAAACAAUUUGUUGUAUAUAAAGCUAUGCCCCUACGUUUGAUAUUUUUAGAUUUUUUGAUAUUAUAAAAGAUAGGAGCAUUCAAAAAAAUUUAUGUUAUCAUUUUUUUGCACCAAUUUUUUCACAAUCAUCAUAAAAUCGAAAACAUUCAAACGUAGAGGAGGUAUAGCAAUAGUUAUAUACAUCAAAAUAUAUAAAAAUAUUUUCCAUAAUGUUAGUAUCCAGAGAGGAAAAUGGGGACUACGUUUCUCUUAAGGAGCAAGCGAAUCUGCCCUAAAACACGUACCAUGUUUUGCUGAAAUAUGAUACUCUUGUUCGAGUCAUUUUAGGUAAGUUGCCAAUAUUUGUGAUAUCUUUCAUGCAUUUUUGUCUGCAUAGAAAUCUAAAGAAGCGACAGAUGUAGUUAAUAAAGUUGAGCAAGAUCCCCGUCUGUUAUAUGGUUUUGUGAGAAGACCACGAUAAAAUAGUAAUUGAACUCCAUAUUUGGGUAAAAAUUCACAAUUAGUCUAUUACACAAAUCUUUAAGGUGCAGUGGGCUCAGAUAACGGGGUUUUCGAAAGUCGUAGUAGCGCUUUUUUAGAUCGCAAAACGAUUGCCAAAAAUUUAAUUAGCAAUCCUCAGGCCUGUUUCUAGGGACUUCAGCAAUUCGAAUCCUGAGUUUUUGACUUUCAUUUGAUAGAAAAAAUCACGAACAUAGUUCUAAAAUGCACAUUCAAAAUUUAUAACAAAUUAUACACAAAAACUUAAAACAGACAAUUAUUUCUAAAAAUAAGCAAUAUGUUUUAACUCAGCGAUUACUUUAUUUUAUUAAAAUACACAAAAAAUUAAAAUUUAAUGAAAAACAUGAUAUUCGCGGUCCUGAACACGCACAUACAUCUCGCUCGCGCUGAGAAGAAUACGAACCUACUAGGCCUUAAAAUCUAUAUGGAUCGAAAUUUCCGACGGAGGUUGUUAAAAGUUGUACGUGGUUAUGAGGCGUGUCACCCGUCAAUUAAAAAACUAUAUAUUCAAAAUUUAUUUAAUUGUAUUUUUAACCGGCUUCAAUUUCAUAGAAGGAGGAGGUUCUGUAUUCGGUUGUGGCUAUAUUUCUUUUUAUGUACGUUCACCGAUUACUCCGACACCCGUGGUCCGAUUUGAGUAAUUAUUAUUUUUGUUUGAAAGGAGUUAUUUCCAAGUUGGUUCCAUUUUAAUUUGGUUCUGAUCUAAUGAUGGAAUCUAUGAGGAAUUGAGGGAACUCCUCUUCCCGUGGUCCGAUUUGAGUAAUUAAUUUUUUGUUUGAAAGGAGUUAUUUCCAAGUUGGUUUCAUUUUAAUUUGGUUCUGAUCUGAUGAUGGAAUCCAUGAGGAAUUGAGGGAACUCCUCUUUUUUUUUAAGGCACGUGUAUGGUGAUUUGGUUGUUUUCUUAUUAAGCAAAUCGAGCAUUUUAUGCACAUGUAUGCAAGUUAUGCAACCAAUACCGAUGUAAUGCAACUGUAGCCUUACCACGGGUUUGACUCUACAUAUUAGCUGACGUGUUCGUAACUUACUUUCUAUUCAUCUCGCUCGCACUAAUAGGAUGCCAGUACGAGCGAGACGCAU